ACGUAGACGCUAUUCCCUAAGAUUAACCCAUGCAUGUUUUUGACAUUUGAAAAAUGGACUGCUCAGUAAUACUCACUUUAUUUUAUGUAAAUUUUUAAUUAACUACGUUAAAGUGUAGAUAAGAUGUUUACAGUAAGAGUGAGACCUAUCAGCUAGUUGUUAAGGUAAUGGCUUAACAAGGCUGUGACGGGUAACGGUAUUACUUUGUAAUAUUCCGGAGAAGGAGCCUGAGAGACGGCUACUAAGUCUAAGGAUUGCAGCAGGGGCGAAACUUGACCUAUGGAUUUUAUCUGAGGCAGUUAUGGGAAGUAAUAUUAUAUUGUUUCAUAUUUUAAAAGUAUAUGAGGUGAUUAAUUGGAGGGCAAAUCAAGUGCCAGCAGCCGCGGUAAUACUUGUUCCAAGAGUGUGUAUGAUGAUUGAUGCAGUUAAAAAGUCCGUAGUUUAUUUUUUUAAGAAGCAAUAUGAGGUGUACUGUAUAGUUGGGAGAAAGAUGAAAUGUGACGACCCUGACUGGACGAACAGAAGCGAAAGCUGUACACUUGUAUGUAUUUUUUGAACAAGGACGUAAGCUGGAGGAGCGAAGAUGAUUAGAUACCAUUGUAGUUCCAGCAGUAAACUAUGCCGACGAUGUGAUAUGAAAAUAUUAAUUUGUAUUACAUAAUAGAAAUUUGAGUUUUUUGGCUCUGGGGAUAGUAUGAUCGCAAGAUUGAAAAUUAAAGAAAUUGACGGAAGAAUACCACAAGGAGUGGAUUGUGCGGCUUAAUUUGACUCAACGCGAGGUAACUUACCAAUAUUUUAUUAUUUUGAGAGAACGGUUUUUUGUUUGAGAAUGAUAAUAGUGGUGCAUGGCCGUUUUCAAUGGAUGCUGUGAAGUUUUGAUUAAUUUCAACAAGACGUGAGGCCCUUAUUUUUUAUUAAAGACAGACACAAUCAGUGUAGGAAGGAAAGGAUUAAAACAGGUCCGUUAUGCCCUCUGACAUUUUGGGCUGCACGCGCAAUACAAUAGAUAUAUAAUCUUUAUGGGAUAAUAUUUUGUAAGAAAUAUUUGAACUUGGAAUUGCUAGUAAAUUUUAUUAAAUAAGUAGAAUUGGAUGUGUCCCUGUUCUU
rnacentral:rRNA from 1 species